rnacentral:rRNA from 1 species
GACGAACGCUGGCGGCGUGCUUAACACAUGCAAGUCGAGCGGAAAGGCCCGCUUGUGGGUACUCGAGCGGCGAACGGGUGAGUAACACGUGAGUAAUCUGCCCUCCACUCUGGGAUAACGUUCAGAAAUGGGUGCUAAUACCGGAUGUACACAUUGUUUCGCAUGGGAUGGUGUGGAAAGGUUUUUUCUGGUGGGGGAUGUGCUCGCGGCCUAUCAGCUUGUUGGUGGGGUAAUGGCCUACCAAGGCUUUGACGGGUAGCCGGCCUGAGAGGGUGACCGGCCACACUGGGACUGAGACACGGCCCAGACUCCUACGGGAGGCAGCAGUGGGGAAUAUUGGACAAUGGGCGGAAGCCUGAUCCAGCAACGCCGCGUGAGGGAUGACGGCCUUCGGGUCGUAAACCUCUUUCACCAUUGACGAAGUCGCAUGCUUUUGUGUGUGGUGACGGUAGGUGGGGAAGAAGCACCGGCCAACUACGUGCCAGCAGCCGCGGUAAUACGUAGGGUGCGAGCGUUGUCCGGAAUUAUUGGGCGUAAAGGGCUCGUAGGCGGUUUGUCGCGUCGGGAGUGAAAUCAUCUGGCUUAACUGGGUGCUUGCUUUCGAUACGGGCAGACUAGAGGUAUGCAGGGGAGAACGGAAUUCCGGGUGUAGCGGUGAAAUGCGCAGAUAUCAGGAGGAACACCGGUGGCGAAGGCGGUUCUCUGGGCAUGAUCUGACGCUGA